CUCGUUUUCCUAACACUAUCCCUACCCUGGUGAACACCCUAACCCUAAUUUACGGGGGGAAAUAGCACUCGAAGGGAUGAUUCUGAAACAUCCUUCCUUGAGUAGCUAUUCCUGCACAGGUCAUCACAUGUGGCUCAACAUGCGUAGGCUUCCACCACAAUUCAUUUUUCUCGCCGUUUGUGAUCCUACUCCACCGCUGUCCAGCCUGUGAUUUCGAGCAACCUGUGCUGAUGAUGACUGGACAAUACUAACCACCCCUCUUAUUUUUUGACCUUUCGGGGAGAUGCUGGCAGUCCCGUCAUUCGUGAGGCCGACGCCAGGAAGGAGCUGCGUGGGACCGUAAGCGGGGUGCUAGCUAGACACGGGGCAGGGCUG